rnacentral:rRNA from 1 species
CUGAGACAGGUGCUGCAUGGCUGUCGUCAGCUCGUGUUGUGAAAUGUUGGGUUAAGUCCCGCAACGAGCGCAACCCUUAUCCUUUGUUGCCAGCGGUUAGGCCGGGAACUCAAAGGAGACUGCCAGUGAUAAACUGGAGGAAGGUGGGGAUGACGUCAAGUCAUCAUGGCCCUUACGAGUAGGGCUACACACGUGCUACAAUGGCGCAUACAAAGAGAAGCGACCUCGCGAGAGCAAGCGGACCUCAUAAAGUGCGUCGUAGUCCGGAUUGGAGUCUGCAACUCGACUCCAUGAAGUCGGAAUCGCUAGUAAUCGUGGAUCAGAAUGCCACGGUGAAUACGUUCCCGGGCCUUGUACACACCGCCCGUCACACCAUGGGAGUGGGUUGCAAAAGAAGUAGGUAG